rnacentral:rRNA from 1 species
CUACGGGAGGCAGCAGUGGGGAAUAUUGCACAAUGGGCGCAAGCCUGAUGCAGCGACGCCGCGUGAGGGAUGACGGCCUUCGGGUUGUAAACCUCUUUCAGUAGGGAAGAAGCGAAAGUGACGGUACCUGCAGAAGAAGCACCGGCUAACUACGUGCCAGCAGCCGCGGUAAUACGUAGGGUGCGAGCGUUAUCCGGAAUUAUUGGGCGUAAAGAGCUCGUAGGCGGUUUGUCGCGUCUGUCGUGAAAGUCCGGGGCUUAACCCCGGAUCUGCGGUGGGUACGGGCAGACUAGAGUGCAGUAGGGGAGACUGGAAUUCCUGGUGUAGCGGUGGAAUGCGCAGAUAUCAGGAGGAACACCGAUGGCGAAGGCAGGUCUCUGGGCUGUAACUGACGCUGAGGAGCGAAAGCAUGGGGAGCGAACAGGAUUAGAUACCCUGGUAGUCCAUGCCGUAAACGUUGGGCACUAGGUGUGGGGACCAUUCCACGGUUUCCGCGCCGCAGCUAACGCAUUAAGUGCCCCGCCUGGGGAGUACGGCCGCAAGGCUAAAACUCAAAGGAAUUGACGGGGGCCCGCACAAGCGGCGGAGCAUGCGGAUUAAUUCGAUGCAACGCGAAGAACCUUACCAAGGCUUGACAUGUUCUCGAUCGCCGUAGAGAUACGGUUUCCCCUUUGGGGCGGGU